AUAGGGGAGCCGAAGGGAAACCGAGUCUUAACUGGGCGUUAAGUUGCAGGGUAUAGACCCGAAACCCGGUGAUCUAGCCAUGGGCAGGUUGAAGGUUGGGUAACACUAACUGGAGGACCGAACCGACUAAUGUUGAAAAAUUAGCGGAUGACUUGUGGCUGGGGGUGAAAGGCCAAUCAAACCGGGAGAUAGCUGGUUCUCCCCGAAAGCUAUUUAGGUAGCGCCUCGUGAACUCAUCUUCGGGGGUAGAGCACUGUUUCGGCUAGGGGGUCAUCCCGACUUACCAACCCGAUGCAAACUGCGAAUACCGAAGAAUGUUAUCACGGGAGACACACGGCGGGUGCUAACGUCCGUCGUGAAGAGGGAAACAACCCAGACCGCCAGCUAAGGUCCCAAAGUCACAGUUAAGUGGGAAACGAUGUGGGAAGGCUCAGACAGCCAGGAUGUUGGCUUAGAAGCAGCCAUCAUUUAAAGAAAGCGUAAUAGCUCACUGGUCGAGUCGGCCUGCGCGGAAGAUGUAACGGGGCUAAACUGUGCACCGAAGCUGCGGCAGCGACGCUUAUGCGUUGUUGGGUAGGGGAGCGUUCUGUAAGCCUGCGAAGGUGUCCUGUGAGGGAUGCUGGAGGUAUCAGAAGUGCGAAUGCUGACAUAAGUAACGAUAAUGCGGGUGAAAAGCCCGCUCGCCGGAAGACCAAGGGUUCCUGUCCAACGUUAAUCGGGGCAGGGUGAGUCGACCCCUAAGGCGAGGCCGAAAGGCGUAGUCGAUGGGAAACGGGUUAAUAUUCCCGUACUUGGUGUUACUGCGAAGGGGGGACGGAGAAGGCUAUGUUGGCCGGGCGACGGUUGUCCCGGUUUAAGCGUGUAGGCUGGUUUUCCAGGCAAAUCCGGAAAAUCAAGGCUGAGGCGUGAUGACGAGGCACUACGGUGCUGAAGCAACAAAUGCCCUGCUUCCAGGAAAAGCCUCUAAGCAUCAGGUAACAUCAAAUCGUACCCCAAACCGACACAGGUGGUCAGGUAGAGAAUACCAAGGCGCUUGAGAGAACUCGGGUGAAGGAACUAGGCAAAAUGGUGCCGUAACUUCGGGAGAAGGCACGCUGACACGUAGGUGAAGUGAUUUACUCAUGGAGCUGAAGUCAGUCGAAGAUACCAGCUGGCUGCAACUGUUUAUUAAAAACACAGCACUGUGCAAACACGAAAGUGGACGUAUACGGUGUGACGCCUGCCCGGUGCCGGAAGGUUAAUUGAUGGGGUCAGCGCAAGCGAAGCUCCUGAUCGAAGCCCCGGUAAACGGCGGCCGUAACUAUAACGGUCCUAAGGUAGCGAAAUUCCUUGUCGGGUAAGUUCCGACCUGCACGAAUGGCGUAAUGAUGGCCAGGCUGUCUCCACCCGAGACUCAGUGAAAUUGAACUCGCUGUGAAGAUGCAGUGUACCCGCGGCAAGACGGAAAGACCCCGUGAACCUUUACUAUAGCUUGACACUGAACAUUGAGCCUUGAUGUGUAGGAUAGGUGGGAGGCUUUGAAGUGUGGACGCCAGUCUGCAUGGAGCCGACCUUGAAAUACCACCCUUUAAUGUUU
rnacentral:rRNA from 1 species